rnacentral:lncRNA from 1 species
AAAAUGUGAAACUUAUAUUUUUUUAUUUUUUAUUGAGAUGUGUAAAAACCGUCAAGAUAGACCCAUAUUAAAACUUGUGCCAUUUUUUUUACAACCAAUUUGUAGCUUGGAGAAGGACUUAUAUCUUUGUUUGUUUUGUUUUUGUCAAGAAUUAUGCUUUUAAAAAUAUUAAAUACUUUGUGAUGGCAUUUAGCCGCCACAAAUUAUUUCUUGUUUUUUUAAUUUACUUUAAAAGAAAAACAAGAAACAAUUUGAAAAGUCCUUCUCCCAACCAAAAUAGCGUUUAAGAUAAAAGCAG